rnacentral:ncRNA from 1 species
UCAAACAAGUUGAUCAGGAAAGUAAAAAGUAACUUUAGCCUAGAGACUUACCGGUUGGUGCAAGGUAAGGUAAAGAAGCUUUUGAAAAUGACCUGUGAUUGGCAACUACGAAUCGGUUUACCGUUAGUAGUUGACGGACUGGCCCUCGUUACUUGGGCACACCAUUCGGCUAGGAUCAUUCCCCGGGGCCCGAUGGUUAGUGAGCAGCCUAAAGGCAACUUUUGGCUAAAACUCAGAAUGGUAACGCGAAAGUCGCUUCUGUC